GAUGAACGCUGGCGGCGUGCUUAACACAUGCAAGUCGAACGAAGCACCUUGACUUCUUCGGAAUGAUUGGUGACUGAGUGGCGGACGGGUGAGUAACGCGUGGGUAACCUGCCUCACACAGGGGGAUAACAGUUAGAAAUGACUGCUAAUACCGCAUAAGACCACAGUACCGCAUGGUACAGUGAUAAAAACUCCGGUGGUGUGAGAUGGACCCGCGUCUGAUUAGCUAGUUGGUGAGGUAACGGCCCACCAAGGCGACGAUCAGUAGCCGACCUGAGAGGGUGACCGGCCACAUUGGGACUGAGACACGGCCCAAACUCCUACGGGAGGCAGCAGUGGGAAUAUUGCACAAUGGGGGAAACCCUGAUGCAGCGACGCCGCGUGAGUGAAGAAGUAUUUCGGGUAUGUAAAGCUCUAUCAGCAGGGAANAAAAUGACGGUACCUGACUAAGAGCACCGGCUAAAUACCGUGCCAGCAGCCG
rnacentral:rRNA from 1 species